CCUACGGGAGGCAGCAGUGAGGAAUAUUGGACAAUGGGCGCAAGCCUGAUCCAGCCAUGCCGCGUGCAGGAUGAAGCAUCUAUGGUGUGUAAACUGCUUUUGUACAGGAAGAAACCUCCCGACGUGUCGGGAAUUGACGGUACUGUAAGAAUAAGGAUCGGCUAACUCCGUGCCAGCAGCCGCGGUAAUACGGAGGAUCCAAGCGUUAUCCGGAAUCAUUGGGUUUAAAGGGUCCGUAGGCGGACCAGUAAGUCAGUGGUGAAAUCUCUCCGCUCAACGGGGAAAUGGCCAUUGAUACUGCUGGUCUUGAAUUAUUAGGAAGUAACUAGAAUAUGUAGUGUAGCGGUGAAAUGCUUAGAGAUUACAUGGAAUACCAAUUGCGAAGGCAGGUUACUACUAAUGGAUUGACGCUGAUGGACGAAAGCGUGGGUAGCGAACAGGAUUAGAUACCCUGGUAGUCCACGCCGUAAACGAUGGAUACUAGCUGUUGGGGGCAACUUCAGUGGCUAAGCGAAAGUGAUAAGUAUCCACCUGGGGAAGUACGUUCGCAAGAAUUGAAACUUAAAUUGAAUUGAGG
rnacentral:rRNA from 1 species